ACAUUUAACCUUGCAUUUACUUCUCCUGACUCCAAUUCUGAGCAAGCAUGUAGGAUACCCUGGUGGCAUAGGACUCUAAAUGUGGUUCCCAUCUUCCCAGGAUCUCUAGUCCAGACGCUGGUGCCCUCGGGUGGAAAAGCGGACCCCCUGUGUGAGGGCUGAGGCUCCCUGGAAGAUGCCCUGGACAGAGAACUUGGGAGGCUUCACUACAGUUUUUUUCUGCCUUUCCUGUUGCAGCCAUGAGCCCUACUCUGGUGCCCUUUACCAUCAACCCCACCAUCACCAACUUGCAGUUCAUGCCAGGUAUGGACCGUCCAGGAUCCCUCAGGCUCAACAUAAUCAAGGCCAUCUUGCAGCACCUGGUGAGAGCACAGAGGUGUUUGCGGCCCACUCCUCCUGUUUUCAUAGCUGCUCAACCCUCUCACUCACCUCCCCUUCCAUCCUCCCCAGCUUGGGCCUCUGAUGAAGAACACCGGUAUCAGCCCACUAGUCUCUGGCUGCAGGCUGACCUCGCUCAGGUUACACCCAUCGCUUCCUCACCUCCACACACCACAGUGAGUAACUUGGUUCCGAGGAUCACUGUGCUUUUGGACCUGUCUGCUCUUUCCCCUCACCCCUACCUCACAUCCCCUGAGAAGGAGGAGUCCACUAAACCAUAAAGCUGUGUCCACUUGUGAAAAACAUUUGUGAUGAAUGUGAUCUGGAAGACAGGAAGGAGAAAGGAUGUCAUAGGCAUUAUUUCC
rnacentral:lncRNA from 1 species